rnacentral:rRNA from 1 species
UGGAAUCUGCCCUUUGGUUCGGAAUUAACAGUUUAGAAAUGACUGCUAAUACCCGGAUUAAAUGGGCGUUAAGUCCCAAGGAUUUAUCGCCGAAGGAUGAGCCCGCGUAGGAUUAGGUAGUUGGUGGGGUAAAUGGCCCACCAAGCCGACGAUCCUUAGCUGGUCUGAGAGGAUGAUCAGCCACACUGGGACUGAGACACGGCCCAGACUCCUACGGGAGGCAGCAGUGGGGAAUAUUGGACAAUGGGCGAAAGCCUGAUCCAGCAAUGCCGCGUGAGUGAUGAAGGCCUUAGGGUUGUAAAGCUCUUUUACCAGGGAUGAUAAUGACAGUACCUGGAGAAUAAGCUCCGGCUAACUCCGUG